UAGGGAAUCUUCCACAAUGGACGCAAGUCUGAUGGAGCAACGCCGCGUGAGUGAAGAAGGCUUUCGGGUCGUAAAACUCUGUUAUUGAAGAAGAACGUGUGUGACAGUAACUGGUCAUGCAGUGACGGUAUUCAAUCAGAAAGUCACGGCUAACUACGUGCCAGCAGCCGCGGUAAUACGUAGGUGGCAAGCGUUGUCCGGAUUUAUUGGGCGUAAAGCGAGUGCAGGCGGUCUUUUAAGUCUGAUGUGAAAGCCUUCGGCUUAACCGAAGAAGGGCAUCGGAAACUGGGAGACUUGAGUGCAGAAGAGGAGAGUGGAACUCCAUGUGUAGCGGUGAAAUGCGUAGAUAUAUGGAAGAACACCAGUGGCGAAGGCGGCUCUCUGGUCUGUAACUGACGCUGAGGCUCGAAAGCGUGGGUAGCAAACAGGAUUAGAUACCCUGGUAGUCCACGCCGUAACGAUGAAUACUAAGUGUU
rnacentral:rRNA from 1 species